UACGUAGGGGGCAAGCGUUGUCCGGAUUUAUUGGGCGUAAAGAGCUCGUAGGCGGUCUGUCGCGUCUGCUGUGAAACUCAGGGCUUAACCCUGAGCUUGCAGUGGGUACGGCAGACUAGAGUGCGGUAGGGGAGAUUGGAAUUCCUGGUGUAGCGGUGGAAUGCGCAGAUAUCAGGAGGAACACCGAUGGCGAAGGCAGAUCUCUGGGCCGUAACUGACGCUGAGGAGCGAAAGCAUGGGAGCGAACAGG
rnacentral:rRNA from 1 species